rnacentral:rRNA from 1 species
AUUCCAGCUCCAAUAGCGUAUAUUAAAGUUGUUGCAGUUAAAAAGCUCGUAGUUGAAUUUCUGUACAGUCCCGGUUCUGGCUUCGGUCAAGCCGUGGAUUGUGCAUCCGCUUGCAAAUCUAGCUCGGCCUUCACUGGUCGACUAGGGGAGUAAGCCCUUUACUUUGAAAAAAUUAGAGUGUUUCAGGCAGGCAAUGGCUCGAAUACAUUAGCAUGGAAUAAUGGAAUAGGACUUUUGUCCAUUUGGUUGGUUAUUGGACAUGAGUAAUGAUUAAAAGGGACAGUUGGGGGCAUUAGUAUUUAAUAGUCAGAGGUGAAAUUCUUGGAUUUAUUAAAGACUAACUUAUGCGAAAGCAUUUGCCAAGGAUGCUUUCAUUG